UACGUAGGCAGCGAGCGUUGUUCGGAGUUACUGGGCGUAAAGGGUGUGUAGGCGGUUGUUUAAGUUUGGUGUGAAAUCUCCCGGCUCAACUGGGAGGGUGCGCCGAAUACUGAAUGACUUGGAGUGCGGGAGAGGAGAGUGGAAUUCCUGGUGUAGCGGUGAAAUGCGUAGAUAUCAGGAGGAACACCGGUGGUGUAGACGGCUCUCUGGACCGUAACUGACGCUGAGACACGAAAAGCGUGGGGAGCAAACAGG
rnacentral:rRNA from 1 species